rnacentral:ncRNA from 1 species
GUCGUUGCAAUGGUAAUCCUGUUUAGUACGAGAGGAACCGCAGGUUCAGACAUUUGGUACAUGUGCCUGGUCGAGCGGCCAAUGGUGCGAAGCUACCAUCUGAGGGAUUAAGACUGAACGCCUCUAAGUCUGAAUCCCGUCCAGAGAUGCGCAACGAU